AUUACCCUACGGGAGGCAGCAGUGAGGAAUAUUGGUCAAUGGGCGCGAGCCUGAACCAGCCAAGUCGCGUGAGGGAAGACGGUCCUAUGGAUUGUAAACCUCUUUUGUCGGGGAGCAAAAGACGCCACGCGUGGCGUUCCGAGAGUACCCGAAGAAAAAGCAUCGGCUAACUCCGGGCCAGCAGCCGCGGGAAUACGGAGGAUGCGAGCGUUAUCCGGAUUUAUUGGGUUUAAAGGGUGCGCAGGCGGAAGAUCAAGGCAGCGGU
rnacentral:rRNA from 1 species